CCGCUCUCAGGAUCACACCUGGAGAGCUUCCAGUAUUCUACCAGUAUCAGCUACUGGAGGGAGAGUCAAGCAGAGGCAUACUGAUUCCAUUACUAGCUUGGGCAGUGGCUAGCAAGUGGAAGGCAAUCUGCUACAAGU